GUGGGUGGGAUGCAGCAGAGGGAAGGGGGAGAGGGGUGUUAAAAGGUCAUUUGUUCAGAUUUUCACACUGCAAGACACUGCUCAACGUACUCGGGGGGGUGUUUGUGUAUAGUCACAUGCUUUUGAAAGUGGUUGUGGUGCUUUUCCAACUUAAUGCUGAGUUCUUUUUCCCUUUAUUAUACAGACUCAGUGCUUGUGAGAGGGGAAGUAUUGCCUCUUCAAGGCACCUCAGGGUGGUGUUUAGUUUUCCCAGAUUCCUGGCGGAGGACUCGAACCAGGUCUGUUUUGUAUUGUUAAGAGGCACCCCCACAGAUAUUCAACCCACCCUUGUUGCUGCCAACUCCCCUGGCAGAAGGGUUACAUAUAUAUAUGCACAUCACAGUUAUUGAUAUUUGCCACAUCUAAGCACUACGAUCCUGCCAAGUGCUGUGAAGCAAACUCCUUCCAUGAGAGACGAGGAUGCUCAGCACCUUACUGGAUGAGGCCCUUUGGCUUAUUGCUGGACACCACGGGUCUACUCUAAUAAACAAGGGAGAAGAAAAUUGUCACAUUCAACAAAGAGCUGGGAUAUAUUGCGGACCUUUCGAGCUCAUUCAAAGGCUUGUAUUGGAAGCAGGACUUUAGAGAAACAAUGGCACGUUGUCAAUAGGAUACACUGGACAUUAUUAAUAAACAUUAGGAGGCUUGAUAUGAUCUGGCAGAAGCAAUGUAAUGAAAUCAAGUACUGGAGCUGGACCGGGUGCGGGAGGAAUCUGAACAAGAUGCUUAAUGACUUACUGGACUGUGAAAUACAGUGGAGAGCCAGGUUGGAAAGGAAAAUCUUUUAAUGAAUUCAGCACAUGCACCCUUGGAAAGCUUUGCUCGCCGUUCCUUAGAAAUGUUUGACUCACCUGAAGAUCCUGAUCGUAUUAAAAAAAACCAAACAUGUUCAACGUGCUCCUAUUUCUUAACAUCUGCAAAGAACAUGGGUCAUGAGUGCAUGAUGAAAGCGCUUCCCUUGAAGGCCUCAAAGGUGGAACAAACUGCAGGACAAUGGCUCCAGAUGGGGAAAGGCAAAUAGCCCACCGGUUGAGGAAGUUGAAAACAAUGCAAGAUACACAUUGCUGUAGCAAAGGUUGUUACAGCAGUACAAGAAGUUUUUCCAUACCAAAGAUAAGAGGUAUGAUGUCAUCUCGAACUUGCUGGAGGAAGCCAAGUAUCAUAUAUAUGAAGACACCUUUUACAUUGUUAUUUCCUCACAUGUUUACCGUAGGCUACAUGGAUUCAUAGGUCUCUUAUCAUUAUAACCUCUUGAUAGCUCUUAGUGAGAGGAUAAGAAUGACUCAAUCUUCAUGUUCUACAGUCAAACAAUACAUCAGUGUUUUCAUAAAUACUAUAUACAAAUUACAUUGAGAACAAUAGGCCUCUCCAUAUUUCCUGAGUGGAUGAAUCUGGGAUCGCAAGCCUUUUUACCCAGCAGUAAAUGCUCUGUAAGGAACGGUACUGCAUUGGCAGAAAGACAGACUGAGAUGACUGAAUGGGGCUUUUCCAUCUCUAACUUCUAUGAUUUUAUGAUUCUGUGAAAUGAAUAUUAUCAUAACACUGACUAACAAAAUCCCAUCAUCAUGAUUUACUAUUAAUUAUCAACAUUAGCCUAUUAUUAAUUACCAUUUGCACCAUCUAUCACCAUCUGGCCAGACUGAUCAUUCACAAGCGUGCACAUACAUUGUUUUAACAAAAGCUGCAGUACACUAUAGAAUAUGUUUCACAGUAGGGUUGUCAUAGCCUCAUCUGUAAGCUUUUUACUAAUGCUCUUUACAAAGUAUCUUAUUAUACACGGAUGAGGAAUGUGGCUGCAUCCAGUAAUAAUUUCAUUAAUUAUGAAUAAAGCAUUUACAAAUGACACCCUUAUCUAAAAAUGGGGAUGAACUCAUUUUGUUUUAAUGCAGAUG